CUCCGGUUGAUCCCGCCGGACCCGACUGCUAUCAGAGUGGGACUAAGCCAUGCGAGUCGACGUAGCAAUGCGUGGCGAACGGCUCAGUAACACGUAGUCAACAUGCCCAGGGGACGUGGAUAACCUCGGGAAACUGAGAAUAAACCACGAUAGGUCACGAUUUCUGGAAUGGAUCAUGGCCUAAAUCUACAUGGCCCCUGGAUUGGACUGCGGCCGAUCAGGCUGUUGGUGAGGUAAUGGCCCACCAAACCUAUAACCGGUACGGGCUCUGAGAGGAGAAGCCCGGAGAUGGGCACUGAGACAAGGGCCCAGGCCCUAUGGGGCGCAGCAGGCGCGAAACCUCUGCAAUAGGCGAAAGCCUGACAGGGUUACUCUGAGUGAUUUCCGCUAAGGGGAUCUUUUGGCACCUCUAAAAAUGGUGCAGAAUAAGGGGUGGGCAAGUCUGGUGUCAGCCGCCGCUGUAAUACCAGCACCCCGAGUGGUCGGGACGAUUAUUGGGCCUAAAGCAUCCGUAGCCGGUUCUGCAAGUCUUCCGUUAAAUCCAGCCGCUCAACGGAUGGGCCGCGGAGGAUACUACAGGACUAGGAGGCGGGAGAGGCAAGCGGUACUCAGUGGGUAGGGGUAAAAUCCUUUGAUCCAUUGAAGACCACCAGUGGCGAAGGCGGCUUGCCAGAACGCGCUCGACGGUGAGGGAUGAAAGCUGGGGGAGCAAACCGGAUUAGAUACCCGGGUAGUCCCAGCUGUAAACGAUGCAGACUCGGUGAUGGGCUAGCCUUGUGCCAGCCCAGUGCCGCAGGGAAGCCGUUAAGUCUGCCGCCUGGGGAGUACGGUCGCAAGACUGAAACUUAAAGGAAUUGGCGGGGGAGCA
rnacentral:rRNA from 1 species